rnacentral:lncRNA from 1 species
AUAUAAAUUGUAUCGAUUAUGACUAUUUUGCCCUUAUACCACUUUAACAUACUUCUACAAUUUAAUUAUAAUUUGUAGAAAAAGUAAAACACGUCCCCCUACCCACUGUUGGCCGACGACCACCGUCGUGCUUCUCCAACCGCCGCGUUUUCACCACAAGAACGCUUCUCAAAUCAUCCACCAACACCACCGACUGCCGCAAUACACAAACCGAUUCAUCACCAGUGCCACCAAUCCAUAGAUCCACCAACACCACUAUACAUACUUGACUAGUAUCAAGCAUUGAGCAUUUGAGCAACGAUGUUGAGCGAUAGUUCAAUUUGAAACAUUGUUCGACACUCGAUCGUCGAAUGUCGAGCAUCGAGCAUAGAACGUGGAACAAUAGUUCAAUUUGAGAGAGAGAGAAAAAAAAAAAGUGGCGGCGCAAUGUGAUGACAAAGCGAGCCGAAUCUAUUGAUUAUUCCGACGAAGGCUAGAGAGAGGAGCCAAAUCUUUAAAAAGAGAUGGAUGAGGAUCGAUUGAUUAUUCCAACGAAGGCAAGAGAGAGAAUGUUGCAAUCGAAUCCAUUCAUGCUUCCGAUGAAGCCAAGAGAAGAGGACGGAACCAAAUCUAUUGAUUUUACCGACGAAAGAGGGAGACGGCUCCACUAGACCUGUUGAUUUUUUCGGCGAAGAAAAGAGAAGAGGAGAGUGCUUGGAUUUGAAAGAGAGAAGUCGCCCGACAUUUAAGAGCGGAAAAUAUACGAGGGAGGGAGAAAUGGAAAAAAAAAAAAUCGAUAGGUGAAAUUGUUAAAAGCUAAAUUAUUUGGCAUACUUUAUUGCCAAUAUGAGUAGAUUUUAACUUGAAGUGUGCAUUGCACUUCUAAUCCCAUCAGAAUUCACCGUAGUCUAUAGGCUAAAUUUGCAUGCCACGUAAACUAACUCGGUAAAGCGCAUAAUGAGAAUAACUAAAAAAAAUAAAACAUUUGCACUUUAAAUUUAUUUGAUUUAACAAUAUCGACAAAACAAAGGAAACAAAAUGAGAACUCGCCACACAGCUAUCAAGUUGUAUCCAUGUCGACAUCACAUGAAAC